rnacentral:rRNA from 1 species
UGGAGUAGGGAGAAUCUGCAGCCAAGCCCCUUUGGGGGUGCAGUUCACAGGCCAAAUGGUAGUGGGCACAAUAGUGCUUAAGAUAUGGUCGAAUCCCGAUUGAAAAGUUGGGUACAAGUACUCUGAUACAGUAUAAUGCAAAUGUUCCGUAGGUGAACCUGCGGAAGGAUCAUUAAUGAAUUAAAGUCGGUCUUCUGUGCUGGUGGCAACACAAGUGCACGUUGAUCGCAAAUCCACACACCUGUGCACCUUUGACUUUGGGAUCUGCUUGUCUGACUUGCAGCUGACUUGGCUUUGUGCCUGUCUGGGUCCCAGAGUAAUUUUUACACACUCUGAAUGUAAUGGAAUGUAUCUGUGCAUAAUGCGCAAAAAUACAACUUUCAACAACGGAUCUCUUGGCUCUCGCACCGAUGAAGAACGCAGCGAAAUGCGAUAAGUAAUGUGAAUUGCAGAAUUCAGUGAAUCAUCGAAUCUUUGAACGCACCUUGCACCCUUUGGUAAUCUGAAGGGUACACCCGUUUGAGUGUCAUUGUAAUCUCACUCCACCGGCUUUUUGCUGAUGGAUGUGGACCUGGACUCUGUUGUGUUACUACAACUGGUCUGAAAUGCAUGAGUGCAUCCUGCUGUUGCUGUGUUUUCAGUGUGAUAAGCAUCUUCACUGGACCAAGUUCCCUUUGGGACAUGCAUGCAUUGUGGGCUCUGUGCUGGCAAACUGUCUUUGGACAACCUUGACAAUUUGACCUCAGAUCGGGUGGGACUACCCGCUGAACUUAAGCAUAUCAAUAAGCGGAGGAAAAGAAACUAACAAGGAUUCCCCUAGUAACGGCGAGUGAAGAGGGAAAAGCUCAAAUUUUGAAUCUGGUGUCUUUGGCGCCCGAGUUGUAAUCUAGAGAAGUGUUUUCUGCCUCGGACCACACAUAAAUUCCCUGGAAUGGGGUGUCAUAGAGGGUGAGAAUCCCGUUUGUGGUGUGGACUACCUUGGCUCUGUGAUACACUCUCAACGAGUCGAGUUGUUUGGGAAUGCAGCUCAAAAUGGGUGGUAAAUUCCAUCUAAAGCUAAAUACUGGCGAGAGACCGAUAGCGAACAAGUACCGUGAGGGAAAGAUGAAAAGCACUUUGGAAAGAGAGUGAAACAGUACGUGAAAUUGUUGAAAGGGAAGCGUUUGAAGUCAGUCACAUUGGUUGGAAUUCAGCCUGGCUUCUGCCUGGUGUACUUUCUGGCAAAUGGGUCAGCAUCAAUUUUGAUCGAGGGAGAAAGACUUGAGGAAUGUAGCUGUCUUUGGGCAGUGUUAUAGCCUCUUGUUGUAUGUCUCGGUUGGGAUUGAGGAUCGCAGCACGCCCUAUGGCCGGGGUUCGCGCCCUC